rnacentral:rRNA from 1 species
GACGAACGCUGGCGGCGUGCUUAACACAUGCGAGUCGAACGGAAAGGCCCUGCUUUUGUGGGGUGCUCGAGUGGCGAACGGGUGAGUAACACGUGAGUAACCUGCCCUUGACUUUGGGAUAACUUCAGGAAACUGGGGCUAAUACCGGAUAGGAGCUCCUGCUGCAUGGGGGGGGUUGGAAAGUCUCGGCGUUUGGGGAUGGACUCGCGGCUUAUCAGCUUGUUGGUAGGGUAGUGGCUUACCAAGGCUUUGACGGGUAGCCGGCCUGAGAGGGUGACCGGCCACAUUGGGCCUGAGAUACGGCCCAGACUCCUACGGGAGGCAGCAGUGGGGAAUAUUGCACAAUGGGCGGAAGCCUGAUGGAGCAACGCCGCGUGCGGGAUGACGGCCUUCGGGUUGUAAACCGCUUUCGCCUGUGACGAAGCGUGAGUGACGGUAAUGGGUAAAGAAGCACCGGCUAACUACGU